rnacentral:rRNA from 1 species
AGCGAACGCUGGCGGCAGGCUUAACACAUGCAAGUCGAGCGCCCCGCAAGGGGAGCGGCCGACGGGAGAGUAACACGUGGGAACAUACCUUUUGGUUCGGAACAACUGAGGGACACUUCAGCUAAUACCGGAUAAGCCCUUACGGGGAAAGAUUUAUCGCCGAAAGAUUGGCCCGCGUCUGAUUAGCUAGUUGGUGAGGUAACGGCUCACCAAGGCGACGAUCAGUAGCUGGUCUGAGAGGAUGAUCAGCCUCACUGGGACUGAGACACGGCCCAGACUCCUACGGGAGGCAGCAGUUAAGAAUAUUGGACAAUGGGGGCAACCCUGAUCCAGCCAUGCCGCGUGAGUGAUGAAGGCCUUAGGGUUGUAAAGCUCUUUUGCCCGGGAAGAUAAUGACGGUACCGGGAGAAUAAGCCCCGGCUAACUUCGUG